GGGGGGGGGGGGGGGGGGGGGGGGGGGGGGGGGGGGGGGGGGGGGGGGCGGGGGGGGUGGGGCGGGGGUGCGUGAGGCGGGGGGGCCUGCCCGUCGGGUGGGAGGAACGCCCCGGAGGGGGUGCUGGUACCGGAUAGUGGCGUCGGGCCAAAGCUUUCUCGCCUUUGGAUGGGCCCGCGUUGGAUUAGCUAGUUGGUAGGGUAAAAGCCUACCAAGGCGACGAUCCAUAGCUGGUCUGAGAGGAUGAUCAGCCACACUGGGACUGAGACACGGCCCAGACUCCUACGGGAGGCAGCAGUGGGGAAUAUUGGACAAUGGGCGAAAGCCUGAUCCAGCAAUGCCGCGUGAGUGAUGAAGGCCUUAGGGUUGUAAAGCUCUUUUACCCGGGAUGAUAAUGACAGUACCGGGAGAAUAAGCGCCGGCUAACUCCGUG
rnacentral:rRNA from 1 species